AGCAGCCGCGGUAAUUCCAGCUCCAAUAGCGUAUAUUAAAGUUGUUGCAGUUAAAAAGUUCGUAGUUGAAUUUCGGGGUCAGUAGGUUGGUCAUGCCACUGGUAUGUACUGGUCUCACUGAUUCCUCCUUCCUGAUGAGCCGUAAUGCCAUUAAUUUGGUGUUGCGAGGAAUCUGGACUGUUACUUUGAAAAAUUAGAGUGUUUAAAGCAAGCUAACGCUUGAAUACAUUAGCAUGGAAUAAUGAAAUAGGACGUUCGAUCCUAUUUUGUUGGUUUCUAGGAUUGACGUAAUGAUUAAUAGGGAUAGUUGGGGGCAUUAGUAUUCAAUUGUCAGAGGUGAAAUUCUUGGAUUUAUUGAAGACUAACUACUGCGAAAGCAUUUGCCAAGGAUGUUUUCAUUAAUCAAGAACGAAAGUUAGGGGAUCGAAGACGAUCAGAUACCGUCGUAGUCUUAACCAUAAACUAUGCCGACUAGGGAUCGGACGAUGUUAAUUUUUAAUGACUCAUUCGGCGUCC
rnacentral:rRNA from 1 species